rnacentral:lncRNA from 1 species
UAAUAUUGGAUCCAGAUGAAGCUGGGCUAAGGCUUUUUAGAAGUGUAGCUUUGACUGGAAUGAUGGUUUGUUUGAUGUGACUUGGAGUGAGAACAACGAACAUGUCCUCAUCACCUGUAGUGGCGAUGGCUCGCUGCAGCUCUGGGACACUGCCAAAGCUGCAGGGCCACUGCAAGUCUAUAAAGAACACGCUCAGGAGAUUCUGGAACUUUUCAAAGCCUGACUCUCUUCUUGAAACAGUGGAGCAUCAUACAGAGUUUACUUGUGGUUUAGACUUCAGUCUUCAGAGCCCCACUCAGGUGGCUGACUGUUCUUGGGAUGAAACAAUAAAGAUCUAUGACCCUGCUUGUCUUACUAUUCCUGCUUGAGAUACACUACUUUGGUCAGAAACAGAGGAUGUUGGCUGAAGAACUGCCUAACAGCAAAUAAAUUAACUAUGGAAAACAUAGACAUUAUGCUUUUAUAUGCUAUUCAGAUUUCAAAUCUUUCCAAUUUACCCUGGAAUCAGUUUUGAGGGAGCUGAUAAAGACUUUAGCUGACUCGUUAAGCCUGAUACAUAAGCCAUAUUUAAAAUUCUAAGAAAUAAUUAAUGUUAUGAUAUAUCUUGUAGUAUCUAUUAAAAUGUCUCUGGGUCAUAAAAUGGAUUAAAAUAUGGGAGAUCAGUAGGUUAUACUUAUAUAGAUAGUGAUAUAUUUCAUUUUUAAUUUGUCAUUUUUGAUGUAAAAUAUAAUCACUGCUGUGAUAAAUAAACUAUCUAUUGAUCAUUUAUCAU